rnacentral:rRNA from 1 species
CAAGGAAUUUUCCACAAUGGGCGCAAGCCUGAUGGAGCAACGCCGCGUGCGGGAUGACGCCCUUCGGGGUGUAAACCGCUUUUCGAGGGGACGAAGGCAAUGACGGUACCCUCGGAAUAAGGAUCGGCUAACUACGUGCCAGCAGCCGCGGUGAGACGUAGGAUCCGAGCGUUGUCCGGAGUUACUGGGCGUAAAGCGCGCGCAGGCGGUUCUAUACAUCGGCGGUGAAAGCCCCCUGCUCAACAGGGGAGGGUCCGUCGAGAUGGUAGAGCUGGAGGCAGGGAGAGGCCAGUGGAAUUCCGGGUGUAGUGGUGAAAUGCGUAGAGAUCCGGAGGAACACCAGUGGCGAAGGCGGCUGGCUGGACCUGACCUGACGCUGAGGCGCGAAGGCGUGGGGAGCGAACGGG